UGGGGAAUAUUUGACAAUGGGCGCAAGCCUGAUCCAGCCAUGCCUCGUGUGUGAAGAAGGCCUUUUGGUUGUAAAGCACUUUAAGCGAGGAGGAGGCUACUUGGAUUAAUACUCUAGGAUAGUGGACGUUACUCGCAGAAUAAGCACCGGCUAACUCUGUGCCAGCAGCCGCGGUAAUACAGAGGGUGCGAGCGUUAAUCGGAUUUACUGGGCGUAAAGCGUGCGUAGGCGGCUUUUUAAGUCGGAUGUGAAAUCCCUGAGCUUAACUUAGGAAUUGCAUUCGAUACUGGGAAGCUAGAGUAUGGGAGAGGAUGGUAGAAUUCCAGGUGUAGCGGUGAAAUGCGUAGAGAUCUGGAGGAAUACCGAUGGCGAAGGCAGCCAUCUGGCCUAAUACUGACGCUGAGGUACGAAAGCAUGGGGAGCAAACAGG
rnacentral:rRNA from 1 species